UACGGAGGGUGCAAGCGUUAAUCGGAAUUACUGGGCGUAAAGCGCACGCAGGCGGUCGGAUGAGUCGGAUGUGAAAGCCCUGGGCUUAACCUGGGAACUGCAUUCGAUACUGUCUGGCUAGAGUAUGGGAGAGGGAAGCGGAAUUUCCGGUGUAGCGGUGAAAUGCGUAGAUAUCGGAAGGAACAUCAAUGGCGAAGGCAGCUUCCUGGCCCAAUACUGACGCUCAGGUGCGAAAGCGUGGGGAUCAAACAGGAUUAGAAACCCGA
rnacentral:rRNA from 1 species